GUCUCAGGCCGUAUCAGCCUGAAGGCGCCCGAUCUCGUCUGAUCUCGGAAGCUAAGCAGGGUCGGGCCUGGUUAGGAUCUUCGAUGGGAGACCACCUGGGAAUCCCGGGUGCUCGAGGCU
rnacentral:rRNA from 1 species